rnacentral:tRNA from 1 species
GGGGCUAUAGCUCAGCUGGGAGAGCGCCUGCUUUGCACGCAGGAGGUCUGCGGUUCGAUCCCGCCAUAGCUCCACCA